GAUGAACGCUAGCGGCAGGCCUAACACAUGCAAGUCGAGGGAGGAGCCUUCGGGCUUCGACCGGCGUACGGGUGCGUAACGCGUAUACAAUCUGCCUUUCACAUAGGGAUAGCCCGAAGAAAUUUGGAUUAAUACCUAAUGGUAUAUAGAUGUGGCAUCACCUUUAUAUUAAAGCUGAGGCGGUGAAAGAUGAGUAUGCGUUCUAUUAGCUAGUUGGAGAGGUAACGGCUCCCCAAGGCGACGAUAGAUAGGGGUUCUGAGAGGGAUAUCCCCCACACUGGUACUGAGAUACGGACCAGACUCCUACGGGAGGCAGCAGUGAGGAAUAUUGGACAAUGGUCGGAAGACUGAUCCAGCCAUGCCGCGUGCAGGAAGACGGCCUUAUGGGUUGUAAACUGCUUUUGCAGGGGAAGAACAAGGACUACGCGUAGUUUGAUGACGGUACUCUGCGAAUAAGCAUCGGCUAACUCCGUG
rnacentral:rRNA from 1 species